rnacentral:tRNA from 1 species
GGAGAGGUACCGAAGUGGAUAUACCGGCGCCGACUCGAAAUCGGAUGAGACCUUUAACUCGGUCUACGCGGGUUCGAAUCCCGCCCUCUCCG